GACUAAGGUUUUCUCAUUUCUUUCAGAUUGUGCGCCUCCGAGGUGAACGUCUGACUGAAGUGAACGUGUGGCUGGUCGAGAACUCCUCCAAACAGGUAAAGUACUUAUGACAAUAUAUAAUGUCUAUAUGCAAGUAUUUAUGAAUGUUAUGUUUUAAAGUUUUUUGUAUUCCAGGUUUGUUUGUGUGGCUGACUGGACCUACUACAAGGUGCUUCUUGCAGAUACAUCAGUGAUGGUGAGGCCGUCACAUUACCAGCGGUUGUGGAUUUCUCAAUUCAACCUUUAUAUUGCAGACUCCACAUAAGGUAAAACACUUCCAUUCAGCAAUUGGUGUGCAGUGUCCAGAUUGUCAACAUUUAGUAAGUAAAAUUCUUACUGUACUUUACUUUCAUUUACUGUAUAUAUACAAUACUUUCAAAUUAAUAGUAUGUAUGCAAUCAAAAAUGUUCUUUACGGUCAUGGCCGAUUAAUUUCAAAAUGAACACGAGACGUCCGUUCUCUCGGUAAGGUUGUCAAAAUCCUUUGUCUGAGGCGUCUGUGACUUAAAUGCAUUAUUUGUGCCAUCUGUGGGUAUCUAGUAGUUUUGAUUACAUGUACCCAAUAGGGCAUCACAUGGGCAUUAGUUUGUAACAGUUGUACGUACAAUGAAUGGCACUU
rnacentral:lncRNA from 1 species